UUGACCUCGGAUCAGGUAGGGAUACCCGCUGAACUUAAGCAUACA
rnacentral:rRNA from 2 species